rnacentral:lncRNA from 1 species
ACUCAGAACAUUAAGCAAUAUGCUAAGAUGGUACUUACUCAAUGAAAUCUUCAAUUUCUUCAUAAUUAUUUAGAAUGUAAAAGUGUAUCUUAGAUAGCUCAUUCACAUCCAUAAAUUUAUAUCUCCUUCUGCCAAUGAGUCGAAUUAUUUGUUUAAAUAUAGACAGCAUCGAUUCAUUGUCAUCCCAUUCAUGGUCUGCAUUACGAUCUAUAUGAUUAAAUAUUAUUUUGAUAUCAUCAAGAUAUAUCGAGC